rnacentral:rRNA from 1 species
UCGAGGAUCUUCGGCAAUGAGCGCAAGCUUGACCGAGCGACGCCGCGUGCGGGAUGAAGGCCUUCGGGUUGUAAACCGCUUUGGUCCGAGAGUAAGGCAGAGCAAUCUGCUUGAACAAUCGGAGAAACAAGCACGGGCUAAGUUCGUGCCAGCAGCCGCGGUAAGACGAACCGUGCGAACGUUGUUCGGAAUCACUGGGCUUAAAGGGCGCGUAGGCGGCCGGGUUGGUCGUGGGUGAAAUCCCCCAGCUCAACUGGGGAAUUGCCUACGAUACUGCCUGGCUCGAGGGAGGAAGGGGCGGCCGGAACUGUCGGUGGAGCGGUGAAAUGCGUUGAGAUCGACAGGAACGCCGGUGGCGAAAGCGGGCCGCUGGCCCUCUUCUGACGCUGAGGCGCGAAAGCCAGGGGAGCGAACGG